UGGGGAAUUUUGGACAAUGGGCGCAAGCCUGAUCCAGCUAUUCCGCGUGUGGGAUGACGGCCCUCGGGUUGUAAACCACUUUAGUAGAGAACGAAAAGGAGCUAUCGAAUAAAUAGCUCUGCUGACGGUACUCUAAGAAUAAGCACCGGCUAACUACGUGCCAGCAGCCGCGGUAAUACGUAGGGUGCGAGCGUUAAUCGGAAUUACUGGGCGUAAAGGGUGUGCAGGCGGCUGAGUAAGACAGAUGUGAAAUCCCCGGGCUUAACCUGGGAACCGCAUAUGUGACUACUUGGCUAGAGUGCG
rnacentral:rRNA from 1 species